rnacentral:rRNA from 1 species
AGUGAAUAGAUACCCCGGUAGUCCUGGCCCUAAACGAUGAAUGCUUGGUGUGGCGGGUAUCGAUCCCUGCCGUGCCGAAAGCUAACGCAUUAAGCAUUCCGCCUGGGGAGUACGGUCGCAAGGCUGAAACUCAAGGGAAUUGACGGGGGCCCGCACAAGCGGUGGAGCAUGUGGUUUAAUUCGACGCAACGCGAAGAACCUUACCCAGGCUUGAACUGCAGAUGACAUCCUACGAAAGUAGGCUUCCGCAAGGACGUCUGUAGAGGUGCUGCAUGGCUGUCGUCAGCUCGUGUCGUGAGAUGUUGGGUUAAGUCCCGCAACGAGCGCAACCCUUGUCUUCUGUUGCCAUCAGGUUAAGCUGGGCACUCUGAAGAGACUGCCGGUGACAAACCGGAGGAAGGUGGGGAUGACGUCAAGUCAGCAUGGCCUUUAUGUCUGGGGCCACACACGUGCUACAAUGGCCGGUACAAACCGUCGCGAUCCCGCGAGGGGGAGGCUAAUCGGA